rnacentral:rRNA from 1 species
GCUGUGCUGCAAGUCAGCUGUUAAAUGUCUGGGCUUAACCCGGGCAUGCGGUUGAGACUGCAGUGCUGGAGUGCUGUAGAGGCAAGUGGAAUUCCCAGUGUAGCGGUGAAAUGCGUAGAUAUUGGGAAGAACACCGGUGGCGAAGGCGACUUGCUGGGCAGCAACUGACGCUGAGGCGCGAAAGCCAGGGGAGCAAACGGGAUUAGAAACCCUAGUAG